UGGAACUGAGACACGGUCCAGACUCCUACGGGAGGCAGCAGUGGGGAAUUUUGGACAAUGGGCGCAAGCCUGAUCCAGCCAUGCCGCGUGAGUGAAGAAGGCCUUCGGGUUGUAAAGCUCUUUCAGACGGAAAGAAACGGUCACGGCUAAUAACUGUGGCUAAUGACGGUACCGUAAGAAGAAGCACCGGCUAACUACGUGCCAGCAGCCGCGGUAA
rnacentral:rRNA from 1 species